GGGAGGCCUGGGAAAUUUCUCUGGUUUCAAUGGGUACGAUUAUUGUAAUCAGGAUCCAUUCAAUAAUCGGACCCAUUUAAACCGGAGGUUUUAAAAGACAGGAAUAGAAUCCCA
ensembl:miRNA